AGAGUUUGAUCCUGGCUCAGGAUGAACGCUGGCGGUAUGCUUAACACAUGCAAGUCGAACGCACCUUUCGGGGUGAGUGGCGGACGGGUGAGUAACGCGUGAGAAUCUGCCCUCUGGUCGGGGACAACCACGGGAAACGGUGGCUAAUACCGGAUAGGCCGCAAGGUGAAAGAUUUAUUGCCAGAAGAGGAGCUCGCGUCUGAUUAGCUAGUUGGUGGGGUAAAAGCCUACCAAGGCGGCGAUCAGUAGCUGGUCUGAGAGGAUGAGCAGCCACACUGGGACUGAGACACGGCCCAGACUCCUACGGGAGGCAGCAGUGGGGAAUUUUCCGCAAUGGGCGAAAGCCUGACGGAGCAAUACCGCGUGAGGGAGGAAGGCUCUUGGGUCGUAAACCUCUUUUGUCAAGGAAGAAGAUCUGACGGUACUUGACGAAUAAGCAUCGGCUAACUCCGUGCCAGCAGCCGCGGUAAUACGGAGGAUGCAAGCGUUAUCCGGAAUUAUUGGGCGUAAAGCGUCCGCAGGUGGCGUAUCAAGUCUGCUGUUAAAGACCGGGGCUAAACUCCGGAAAGGCAGUGGAAACUGAGACGCUAGAGUGCAGGAGGGGUAGAGGGAAUUCCCGGUGUAGCGGUGAAAUGCGUAGAUAUCGGGAAGAACAUCGGUGGCGAAAGCGCUCUACUGGACUGCAACUGACACUCAGGGACGAAAGCUAGGGGAGCGAAUGGGAUUAGAUACCCCAGUAGUCCUAGCCGUAAACGAUGGAUACUAGGUGUGGCUUGUAUCGACCCGAGCCGUGCCGUAGCUAACGCGUUAAGUAUCCCGCCUGGGGAGUACGCGCGCAAGCGUGAAACUCAAAGGAAUUGACGGGGGCCCGCACAAGCGGUGGAGUAUGUGGCUUAAUUCGAUGCAACGCGAAGAACCUUACCAGGGCUUGACAUGUCGCGAAUCUCCGGGAAACUUGAGAGUGCCUACGGGAGCGCGAACACAGGUGGUGCGUGGCUGCCGUCAGCUCGUGUCGUGAGAUGUUGGGUUAAGUCCCGCAACGAGCGCAACCCUCGUUUUUAGUUGCCAUCAUUAAGUUGGGCACUCUAGAGAGACUACCGGUGACAAACCGGAGGAAGGUGGGGAUGACGUCAAGUCAGCAUGCCCCUUACGUUCUGGGCUACACACGUACUACAAUGGUGAGGACAAAGGGCAGCGAACCCGCGAGGGCAAGCCAAUCCCAUCAAACCUCGCCUCAGUUCAGAUUGCAGGCUGCAACUCGCCUGCAUGAAGGAGGAAUCGCUAGUAAUCGCCGGUCAGCAUACGGCGGUGAAUCCGUUCCCGGGCCUUGUACACACCGCCCGUCACACCAUGGAAGCUGGCCACGCCCGAAGUCGUUACCCUAACCCCUUGUGGGAGGGGGGCGCCGAAGGCAGGGUUAGUGACUGGGGUGAAGUCGUAACAAGGUAGCCGUACCGGAAGGUGCGGCUGGAUCACCUCCUU
rnacentral:rRNA from 1 species